rnacentral:rRNA from 1 species
CGGCAUUCAUACGCGGAAGAGACAUUACAGAGUUGCAAAACUCCCUAAACCAUUGUGAACGUUACCUAUACCGUUGCUUCGGCGGGCGGCCCCGGGGUUUACCCCCCGGGCGCCCCUGGGCCCCACCGCGGGCGCCCGCCGGAGGUCACCAAACUCUUGAUAAUUUAUGGCCUCUCUGAGUCUUCUGUACUGAAUAAGUCAAAACUUUCAACAACGGAUCUCUUGGUUCUGGCAUCGAUGAAGAACGCAGCGAAAUGCGAUAAGUAAUGUGAAUUGCAGAAUUCAGUGAAUCAUCGAAUCUUUGAACGCACAUUGCGCCCGCCAGCAUUCUGGCGGGCAUGCCUGUUCGAGCGUCAUUUCAACCAUCAAGCCCCCGGGCUUGUGUUGGGGACCUGCGGCUGCCGCAGGCCCUGAAAAGCAGUGGCGGGCUCGCUGUCGCACCGAGCGUAGUAGCAUACAUCUCGCUCUGGUCGCGCCGCGGGUUCCGGCCGUUAAACCACCUUUUAACCCAAGGUUGACCUCGGAUCAGGUAGGAAGACCCGCUGAACUUAAGCAUAUCAUAAGCCGAGAGAAA